rnacentral:lncRNA from 1 species
AGAGAUUUAGUUAUUUUUAUAUUUUAUAUUGGAAUUUUUGCGAUAUAAAAUUGUUUUAUCGUUAAUAUUGCAACAUGUUAAGGGAUGCUUGGAAUACUGAAGGAAAAAAUGGGCUUAUAGCCUUAUUACAACGAUUUGUGUGGACUCUCAUGCAUGUUCAUUAGCGCAUGUGCAAUUAUCCACUUAUAUAGCGUUCUUCUAUAAUAUAUUUAAGGGCAAAUAUAAUUUUAAACUUUUUUUUUAUAUUUUGACAUAAACUGAUAAAAUAUAAACCUCCCGCCUCCUGGGAGUUUUUAAAAUUUAGCGAUGAGAAUCAAGGAAUUUAUUUUAUAUGGCCUUACUCUGAGUGUGCAUCCACACCGGGCAAGCUGAAAAGAUAUUGGAGUUCGAUUCCCACCGUGGCGCACACUCAGAGUAAGGNNNNNNNNNNNNNNNNNNNNCUUGUAUGAAUAUUUUUUUUUAAUUUUUUGCUUGUGUCAAUAAUUUUUUUUAAAUAUAAUCCCUUGCACGAAUUUUUUUUAAUUUCAACUUAUAAUUUUCCCUAUUGAAAAGUGUCUGCACGAAUUUUUUUUUCAAACUUUUUGGGUGCACGAAUUUUUUUCUUUCUGUUUCCAAUGCUCGAUUUUUAUUUUUGCCCCCCCCCCCCAUCACUUUUCUAAUGGUCCGCCCCUAACAUCACAAACUACAUAGAUUAUGUUCAUUAAUUAACAUCUGUUAUCUUGUGAUAAGGCAUUACGUAUAUAGGCUACAAGAUAAAUCCUGAAGUAGUCAUAAUAGUCUUACAGGAUUAAAAACAAAUUUCCUACUACUAAUGUAGACUUUAUGAAUAUUUUCGUUCUGAACUGUUCCGCUGUAAUUUAGGUAUCGAGUUACUAGAUAAGGUGGCUCGAUAUAGUUAUUACAAAAACCCUGCUCAAGAAUCGCGAACUCAAAACGGGGUGAUCACUUUUACGCGCAGGUCGCGGAAACUGAUUAACAAAAUGAAAGAACUUCCAAAAUGAUCUGACGUGAGCAGUUGCUCGCGCCACUAGCGGCUAAAUCGAGGAAUGCACAUUUACAUGACGCCAUCUUGAAUUCAUUAUUAACUCGGGACAUUUGUGGUUAUCUUAUGAUAAUAAUGAAUUAGUAAAAUGGUUAUCCAUUAAAGUGCUCCUUUAUCCCUUGUCUACAUCCGUAGUUUAUUUCUAUUGUCAGCUGGGAGGUAAACACGCAAUAAAAAGUUUUCUUUAUUAAAUUGACUAGAGAUAUUUACUAUGAAAAGUUGCCGAUUUUUAUGGCGAAUUCAAUCGUGUUCUCCGAUUUCCCAUCUACUGUGUACACAAAUUCCUAUAGUAGGAUAAAGACUCGAGUUUUAGAGUAUUAAAGGGCGAAUAUCUCCG